rnacentral:rRNA from 1 species
AUUGAACGCUGGCGGCAGGCCUAACACAUGCAAGUCGAACGGUAACAGGAAGCAGCUUGCUGCAUCGCUGACGAGUGGCGGACGGGUGAGUAAUGUCUGGGAAACUGCCUGAUGGAGGGGGAUAACUACUGGAAACGGUAGCUAAUACCGCAUAACGUCGCAAGACCAAAGAGGGGGACCUUAGGGCCUCUUGCCAUCCGAUGUGCCCAGAUGGGAUUAGCUAGUAGGUGGGGUAACGGCUCACCUAGGCGACGAUCCCUAGCUGGUCUGAGAGGAUGACCAGCCACACUGGAACUGAGACACGGUCCAGACUCCUACGGGAGGCAGCAGUGGGGAAUAUUGCACAAUGGGCGCAAGCCUGAUGCAGCCAUGCCGCGUGUAUGAAGAAGGCCUUCGGGUUGUAAAGUACUUUCAGCGGGGAGGAAGGGAGUAAAGUUAAUACCUUUGCUCAUUGACGUUACCCGCAGAAGAAGCACCGGCUAACUCCGUG